rnacentral:rRNA from 1 species
UACGGAGGGGGCAAGCGUUGUUCGGAUUUACUGGGCGUAAAGGGUGUGUAGGCGGCCGCGCAAGUCUGGUGUGAAAUCUUCACCGCUCAACGGGAAGAGGUCACUGGAAACUGCGCGGCUCGAGGAUGGUAGAGGCAAGCGGAAUUCCUGGUGUAGCGGUGGAAUGUGUAGAUAUCAGGAAGAACACCGGUGGCGAAGGCGGCUUGCUGGGCCAUUACUGACGCUGAGACACGAAAGCGUGGGGAGCAAACGGGAUUAGAUACCCCGGUAGUCCACGCUGUAAACGGUGCGCACUAGGCGUGAGGGGUAUCGACCCCCCUUGUGCCGAAGCAAACGCAUUAAGUGCGCCGCCUGGGGAGUACGGCCGCAAGGUUGAA